ACCUCAAGAUGGACAGCCAGCCAGAAUAGGGGCGGAAACUUCUGUUCCGCCAUGCUGCAGACUCGGUGGCUCCCUGAGUGCGGGCUACUCUCCUGAUCCGUGUGCUGGACUGUGACCCGCUGCCGGGGCUUUUAGGAGAGCGGGGUGAGCUCGGAAUCCGCCAUGGCUACAAAUGGGAAGACCACAACAUUGAAGAGCAUUGUCAAAGUUCUAGAAGACAUGAAAGGUGUAUCAUCUGUCACUCCUGAUACAAACCAUGUGAUCCUGAGCAGCAUGAAAAGAAACAAUGUACUGCUGUGUCUUCCAGAACAUUUAGAAAAUAUAUAGUAGUCCUCACUAUGCAUAGACUUGCUCCUCCAGCUCUGUGCAAUCAAGGACAGUGACUUAGUACAAAGAGUCUGUAGAAAUCACCAGAAAGAUAGCAAACCUCCAGCUGUAGAGCAAAAGGACCAUAUCAUCAGAAUUCAUGUCUGCUCACCUGGGUCCAUUUUAAAGCCCUGUAACAUCAAGGGAGAAGUUAUUCUAUGAAACACACAGAGCCCUAUGUCCCCCCGGAAUGUCCUUCUGGUGAUGCUAUCCUCUUUGACCUGUGUGUCUGUGGAUGCUCAUGCAUGAAAUGACAAUGACACUUAUUUACAACAUCUUGAAUCAAAACCACCCUGGAUAUCCUGCAUUUAAAAAAUACAAAGGGGAGAUGACACCCUGGAGUGGAGUACUUACUGUGAACACAUUUCUGAGUGUUUGGGGUGAAUGCAUGCCACAGAGCAUAGGUGGCAGUUAGAGAACAACUUGAGAAUUGGUUCUCACCAUGUUAGAAGCAAACUCAGGUCAGUAAUACUGGCAGCAAGCCACUUUCUCAGCUGAUUCAACUCCCUGACUCUAAUUAUACAUUUUGAGAAACAGAUAGAGGUGAUUGUUGAUUUCAGACAGAUUGCGGAAAUUAAAAGAUGAGUAAGUGACCAUGGCUUGACCCUGAUUUGUCUCCUGAAGAAAUGGCUCAUCUGACUUUGGGUCGGACUCCCUGAAUUAUUGCCAUACCAUCACCUUCUAAAAAUCAACUGUAUCUUUCCUACCUGGAGUCUGCAACAAAACCUCCCAACAUCAAGAAAUGACUCCACAUCGAGCAGCUCUAUUCAACAUAACUUUAUAAAAUUUGGCUAUUCAAAAAGGGGGAAAUGAAGGAGAUUUGCUGAACUGACACCAGGCCAGGACAAUGCACUGGCCAGAAGUUCCUUGAAAACAAGAGGAUGUAUUUAGAGUUAUGGCAGAAUACUGCCUUUACACUCCAACAAAUAUUUCCUUGGCCAGAAUUCAGGUUCUUCACAGUUAUCUCUGGGAGAAAGUUCAAUCAGUAACAUACAAAAAUCUGUUCUUUGUCCAGCAAGAAUGAAGUCAACAUCAGAGAUUAGUGAGGGUGUCACUGCAGGUGUCAGGGAAGCCAACCACAGGAAGAGAUGAGAGUGAAAACCUGGCUCAGAUUGACUUUGUCAACUUGCAUCAGACUCUGGGGAGUCUAAUACGAGGCAUCUUAUUGUAGGCAUAUUUAAACACAGUAGAAUUUGGGGACGCGUCUCUAUACUAACAACAGUUCCCAUAGUCAUUCCACUUCCAGUUGCACAACAGAGCUUAAGGUGUGACUGCAGAGAAACACUAUUACAAAGUCCAUGUGACCAUGGGGGGCUUCUAUAUGUAAAAGUCUAGAAUUUAAUGUGGUCUCUGAGAUAGCAUAGAGGUCAGCAGGCCAUAGAGUACAUGUGACAUCUCCUCUAAAAUGGGUAAUGGUCUAGGGUCAGAAGAAUCUGGAAAGAUACAAGCAUAACCUCACCCUGAUGUUAGUAGGACAUCAGGACAUUUCCUUUGUUUUGUCUUUAGGUCUUUCCAUUUACCCUAUUCUUUAGACUCUGUCUCCUGUAGGGGAAAAUGCUUUUGGGCAGCAGUAGAAGCAUUGUCCUUUAAAAUGAAAAAAUUAAAGUUAAGAUAGGUAGAUGCAGCGUAUUAUGGGGGAUUUUGGUGGGUAUAUACACACCCUUUUCAUUUUAAGUUUUUCUCAUUUAAGUAUUUGAUAUUAUAGUUCCUCAGCAGUUUGAUUUUGUGGAUUGUAAGGGAUUUCAGUAACAUGAUUAACAGUCCAUAAGCUGCAAAAUUGACUAAAGUGUUCGCUGGUAUAAUCAGGGUCAUUAUCAGUUUUUAUUUGUUGUGUUAGGAACAAAAGGGGAAGUUGUAUAACAAAUGCCUAAUGGCAUCGGAGGUUGUUUCACCUCUGUAAACAGAAGCAAGGGUCAUAUUUGAAAAGCUAUCGACUUAUGUGAAUAUAUUUUAAAUGACCAAAUUCUAAGAUAUGGGUAAUUUCUGUUUGCCAAAUGGUGUUGGAUUUAACACCCAAUGAUUAGUUAAUGACAGCAGAGUAAAAAACAAGUAGGAUGGGGCACUGGGCUGUGGUGGCACAUGCCUUUAAUCCUAGCACUUGGGAGGCAGAGGCAGGAGGAUCUCUGUGAGUUUGAG